ensembl:lncRNA
GGAUGGAUGGAUGGAGGGAUAGAUGGAUGGACAGACAGGUGAAUAGAUGGAUGGAUGGACGGAUGGAUAGAUGGAUGGACAGACAGGUGAGUAGAUGGAUGGAUGGAUGGAUGGACAGACAGGUGAAUAGAUCGAUGGAUGGAUGGAUUUAUAGAUGGAUGGACAGACAGGUGGAUAGAUGGAUGGAUGGAUGGAUAGAUGGAUGGACAGACAGGUGAAUAGAUGGAUGGAUGGAUAGAUAGAUGGAUGGACAGACAGGUGAAUAGAUGGAUGGAUGGAUGGACAGACAGGUGAACAGAUGGAUGGAUGGAUGGACAGACAGGUGAACAGAUGGAUGGAUGGAUGGACGGACAGGUGAAUAGAUG